rnacentral:rRNA from 1 species
GAACGCUGGCGGUAUGCUUAACACAUGCAAGUCGAACGGUAACAGGCCUUCGGGCGCUGACGAGUGGCGGACGGGUGAGUAACGCGUAGGAAUCUGCCUCAUAGUGGGGGACAACGUGGGGAAACUCACGCUAAUACCGCAUACGCCCUACGGGGGAAAGCGGGGGAUCUUCGGACCUCGCGCUAUGAGAUGAGCCUGCGUUAGAUUAGCUAGUUGGUAGGGUAAAGGCCUACCAAGGCGACGAUCUAUAGCUGGUCUGAGAGGACGAUCAGCCACACUGGGACUGAGACUCGGCCCAGACUCCUACGGGAGGCAGCAGUGGGGAAUAUUGGACAAUGGACGCAAGCCUGAUCCAGCAAUACCGCGUGUGUGAAGAAGGCCUAGGGUUGUAAAGCACUUUCAAUUGGGAGGAAAACCUGUCGGUCAAUACCCGGCAGCUUGACAUUACCUUUAGAAGAAGCACCGGCUAACUCCGUG